rnacentral:rRNA from 1 species
UGAUGCGGUCAUACCAAGGCUACUGCACCAGACCCCAUCAGAACUCUGAAGUUAAGCGCCUUUGGGCCGGAAUAGUACUGGGAUGGGUGACCU